GAUGAACGCUGACCGAAUGCUUAACACAUGCAAGUCGAUGGGGAAGUGGUGCUUGCACCAUGGUAACCAUGGCGGACGGGUGAGUAACGCGUAAGGAACUUGCCUGCGGGACUGGGAUAACAGCAGGAAACUGCUGAUAAUACCGGAUAAGGUCAUUAAGCUGCAUAGCUUAGUGAUGAAAGGAGACGCCUGCGGAGAGCCUUGCGUCCUAUUAGCUAGUUGGAGGGGUAACGGCCCACCAAGGCGAAGAUAGGUAGCCGGCCUGAGAGGGUGGACGGCCACAAGGGGACUGAGAUACGGCCCUUACUCCUACGGGAGGCAGCAGUGGGGAAUAUUGGACAAUGGGGGCAACCCUGAUCCAGCAAUUCUGUGUGCACGAAGACGGUUUUCGGAUUGUAAAGUGCUUUCAGCAGGGAAGAAGGAAGUGACGGUACCUGCAGAAGAAGCGACGGCUAAAUACGUG
rnacentral:rRNA from 1 species